UACGUAGGGGGCAAGCGUUGUCCGGAUUUAUUGGGCGUAAAGAGCGUGUAGGCGGCCUGAAAGGUCAGCUGUGAAAACUCGAGGCUCAACCUCGAGACGUCGGUUGAAACCAUCUGGCUAGAGUCCGGAAGAGGAGUGUGGAAUUCCCGGUGUAGCGGUGAAAUGCGCAGAUAUCAGGAGGAACACCGGUGGCGAAGGCGGGUCUCUGGGCCAUAACUGACGCUGAGGAGCGAAAGCGUGGGGAGCGAACAGG
rnacentral:rRNA from 1 species